rfam:Aedes albopictus isolate Foshan contig10573, whole genome shotgun sequence.
UGUUCUGUGGCUUAGUGGGUUAUAGCGCCGGUCUAGCGAAUACGGAUCCGUGGGUUCGAAUCCCACCAGAACUC